rnacentral:rRNA from 1 species
CCUACGGGGCGCAGCAGUGGGGAAUAUUGCACAAUGGGCGCAAGCCUGAUGCAGCCAUGCCGCGUGUAUGAAGAAGGCCUUCGGGUUGUAAAGUACUUUCAGCGGGGAGGAAGGUGUUGAGGUUAAUAACCUCAGCAAUUGACGUUACCCGCAGAAGAAGCACCGGCUAACUCCGUGCCAGCAGCCGCGGUAAUACGGAGGGUGCAAGCGUUAAUCGGAAUUACUGGGCGUAAAGCGCACGCAGGCGGUCUGUCAAGUCGGAUGUGAAAUCCCCGGGCUCAACCUGGGAACUGCAUUCGAAACUGGCAGGCUGGAGUCUUGUAGAGGGGGGUAGGAUUCCAGGUGUAGCGGUGAAAUGCGUAGAGAUCUGGAGGAAUACUGGUGGCGAAGGCGGCCCCCCGGACAAAGACUGACGCUCAGGUGCGAAAGCGUGGGGAGCAAACAGGAUUAGAUACCCUUGUAGUC